GUAAUAGAACCCAAUAUCAUCUUCUAGAGUUUCUUUUCGCCUACAUAAUAACCCAAGUCCCUUCAUUUCUUUCAUAUCUGUAGCCGAUUAGGGUUUUGCUUCGAUUAAAAUUCUUUGAAAUUAUUCAACGGCAUAUUAGAAAUGAUUAGGGUUUCGCCACCUUUUAGAAUCUUGGCAUUCCUUCCAGAUUUGUCUCCAUAACGUUUAAUUGCUUCUAAGAAUCGUCAAUUUUUUUUGCAUGUUGCAUCCCCGGGCUUCUCUGAUAGAUGGAUGACGCGAAAGCCCCAAUGCUCGUGCAAAAUUCCACGCCGUUCGUGUUGCAGUUCAGCCUUGAUUUCUUCCAUGGCUGUGAUCUGUGUCAAAUCAACUGCUAAAUUCCCUAUUUUAUUAACCAGUUUAUAUACGUUCAAUUUUGUCACUGAAUUUGCCUCGUAAUACCUUCAGCUUGUUUUCGAAUACAGUGUGUUCCAUGAAUUUGGAGCUAGUUCUAGAGGCAUAAAUCGAUUAACGGGUUGUUUUCGAUUUUGGGGAUCCUACCUUUCAGUGUUUGUCCCUUCGAAAAUAUCUGUAAUAUAAUUAGUUAGAUCUUAAUGUUGUUUUUAUAUUUUUAAUUCUUGGCGAUGAUUAAACCUUAUCCGCGCUUCUGAGAAUCUUCAAUGACGCACAAAGGAUAAAAAUGGUUGAAUUUCUUAAUAUGAGCUGAGUUUUUUAUAUUAUUUCUUAGUAAAUUUGAUCAUUCUUAUUCAAAACUAUAUCAUUUUAGUCGAUAUUUAUUAUAAUUUCUACUGUAGUAUAUUUGUUGUCUAUGAAGAUAUUCAUUCAGCUUAUGCCAGUUCUGCUUCUGAGAAUUCUUGAUUGAUAAAGCUGUUACAUAUUCUGAGCCAACCAAUGAAACUGAAUUAUUUUUUGUGAUUAGUGUUCUUAACUUCUUAUUGUCGUAAUUUAAUUUUGUUGUUGCUUAUUAUUCUGUUAUAAUGAUGUAUUCUUACUUAUUGUUUAUGUUAUUACCUGUGAUGAUUUAAUCCAUCUAGUUUGAGGUGUAGUGGAACUAAGCCCAUGUUUACAUGGAGAACCUACUUGGUGAAGCUACAUUCAUAUGACAUCAAUGGAUUAUUCUGAGGA